rnacentral:rRNA from 1 species
ACGGGUGAGUAACACGUAUCCAACCUGCCGUCUACUCUUGGACAGCCUUCUGAAAGGAAGAUUAAUACAAGAUGGCAUCAUGAGUUCACAUGUUCACAUGAUUAAAGGUAUUCCGGUAGGCGAUGGGGAUGCGUUCCAUUAGAUAGUAGGCGGGGUAACGGCCCACCUAGUCUUCGAUGGAUAGGGGUUCUGAGAGGAAGGUCCCCCACAUUGGAACUGAGACACGGUCCAA